rnacentral:rRNA from 1 species
AACGAACGCUGGCGGCAUGCCUAACACAUGCAAGUCGAACGAGACCUUCGGGUCUAGUGGCGCACGGGUGCGUAACGCGUGGGAAUCUGCCCUUGGGUUCGGAAUAACAGUUGGAAACGACUGCUAAUACCGGAUGAUGACGUAAGUCCAAAGAUUUAUCGCCCAAGGAUGAGCCCGCGUAGGAUUAGCUAGUUGGUGAGGUAAAGGCUCACCAAGGCGACGAUCCUUAGCUGGUCUGAGAGGAUGAUCAGCCACACUGGGACUGAGACACGGCCCAGACUCCUACGGGAGGCAGCAGUGGGGAAUAUUGGACAAUGGGCGAAAGCCUGAUCCAGCAAUGCCGCGUGAGUGAUGAAGGCCUUAGGGUUGUAAAGCUCUUUUACCCGGGAUGAUAAUGACAGUACCGGGAGAAUAAGCCCCGGCUAACUCCCGUGCCAGCAGCCGCGGUAAU